rnacentral:ncRNA from 1 species
UUUCCCUCAGGAUAGCUGGAGCUGGCGCGAGAGUUCUAUCGGGUAAAGCCAAUGAUUAGAGGCAUCGGGGGCGUAACGCCCUCGACCUAUUCUCAAACUUUAAAUAGGUCGAGCGGCGAGCUGAAUCCUUUGCAGACGACUUAAAUACGCGACGGGGUAUUGUAAGGGGUAGAGUGGCCUUGCUGCCACGAUCCUCUGAGAUUCAGCCCUUUGUCGCUCCGAUUCGUCCCUCCCACCCCAUAUCCAAUCCACAUCUCAUCACUCCCUAUGAAAUCCAAUUCAA